GGCUACCAGAGAUUCAUGCCCUAUGCAAAUGGCACAUCUGGUCCUAACCAGUUUUUUGCACUCUAUGUAAAUCAGACACCGCCUCCCCAUCAGCUCAUCUAUAAAACUCCCUGCAUUUCACUGUGGAUCCAGCAAUCCAUUUUUCCAGGACCCCUUUCUGUAGCAGAGAGCUAUUCACUUUCUUUUGCCAAUUAAACGUCCAUUCUCUUUUUUUUUUUUUUGAGACGGAGUCCCUGUCUGUCGCCCAGGCUGGAGUGCAGUGGCGCAAUCUUGGCUCACUGCAACCUCCGCCUCUUGGGUUCAAGUGAUUCUCCUGCCUCAGCUUCCCAAGAACCUGGGAUUACAGGCACCCACCACUACACCUGGCUAAUUUUUGUAUUUUUAGUAGAGAUGGGGUUUCACCAUGUUGACCAGGCUGCUCUCGAACUCCUGAUCUCAGGUGAUCUGCCUGCCUUGGCCUCCCAGAGAGCCGGGAUUACAGGCAUAAGCCACCGCGCCGAGCGUUUUUUUUUUUUUUUUUUUUUUUUUUUUUUUUUGGAGACAGAGUUUAGCUCUUGUAGCCCAGGCUGGAGUCAAUGGUGUGAUCUUGGCUCACUGCAACCUCUGCCCCCUGGGUUCAAGCAAUUCUCCUGCCUCAGCCUCCCAAGUAGCUGGGAUUACAGGUGCCUGCCACCACACCCAGCUAAUUUUUGUAUUUUUAGAGGAGACAGGGUUUCACCAUGUUGGCCAGGCUGGUCUCGAACUCCUGACCUCAGGUGAUCCACCCACCUUGGCCUCCCAAAGUGCUGGGAUUACAGGCAUGAGCCACCACGCC
rnacentral:lncRNA from 1 species